GGAAUUACGUCGUGCUGACUUUUACGCGUUAUUUGGUUAGGCCUUGUAUAAGAUUUUUUUUAACUCUAUAUAAGCGGUUAUUUUAAAAAGAGUGGAGUGGUGUCAUAGGAUCUGACGAUCGACCUGUACCUAAUGAAAUUUACUACCUCGUAUUUCCUUAAUGACAACUUACUAUCACGCUAUUGUCCGUAAAUAAUGAAUUCCUCAUGAGAAAGAACACAACAUUUCAAUUUUUAAUACAGUUGUAAUUAUUUCAAGUAAAUAUUUAUCGAGAGCAAACUCACGUUCACCGCAUCUACGCCGGCUCGGCGCAGAAGAAAUGUCCUAAACCCCUACGUGUAACAUAAAGAGAAACGAUACCACGGAAG